UACGUAGGGUGCGAGCGUUUGUCCGGAUUUAUUGGGCGUAAAGGGCUCGUAGGCGGCCUGUCGCGUCGGGAGUGAAAGCCCACUGCUUAACGGUGGGUCUGCUUUCGGUACGGGCGGGCUAGAGUAUGGCAGGGGAGACUGGAAUUCCUGGUGUAGCGGUGGAAUGCGCAGAUAUCAGGAGGAACACCGGUGGCGAAGGCGGUUCUCUGGGCCUUACCUGACGCUGAGGAGCGAAAGCGUGGGGAGCGAACAGG
rnacentral:rRNA from 1 species